rnacentral:lncRNA from 1 species
GAGGAUCUGGAUUCGGCUGGUGUUUGAGUAUUUGAUUUCCUUUGGCUUGGAUGCGGAACAGGGGAUUCGGAGGUUGGUUGGUUCUUAUCCGAAAGAUAAGAGACACGUAGAACUGGGGAGAGGGUGCUGGGAGAAAUCCGUGGACGAAGGAUUGGUUUUGCUCAUUGGAUACGGGAGGAAACUUGGUUUGGAAGUGAUCCUUUGAUGCUCAUGGGAUGGGGAGGUGAGUUAGGAGUUUAAACUUGGAUUGCGGAUCAGAGAAGCUGGAACGGAUGGAUGCUUGGGAAUUGUUGUGAAGUGAUCCGGAAGCUGUUGGGAUUUGAGUUUAUCCUACAGGCGAAGAGGAGGGUGAUGAUGCCGUUGGGAUGAAGCUUGGGAACGGUGGAUGUGGGAUCUAGCGGAAGAAUUGGAAGGUGAUCAACGUGGAUGUGAUUCCGAGGGAAGUUGGGCUGGUUCGGAAGAAGAGGGUGGUUGCUGGGACGUUGGGAGAUUCGGGAAGAUGAAGCUAAGGAGGGAUUUGCGGAUGGAGUUGG